rnacentral:lncRNA from 1 species
AGCUGAUAUACUACUUACUAUUGAGGGAAUGUAUUCCCUUCCCGAGUCCACAAGGGGGUGUAGUUUCAAAGGCAAGAACUUCCCAGUGACGCGCCCCACUUGCCUUCCUCCACGUUUCCAACCAGGAGCUUAAAGGUCUUUGUUUAACUUUCAUGGGGGAAGAAAUCAAAGGUCAAUCACUCCAGCCAAACUCCUUUCACAGGACAGAAAAUUUGAAUGGGGCAGGAGGUUAAAACUCUGAAGUUAAAAGUCCCCUGCCCCCACAUCCAGUUUCUAGGUUCAACCUUAAGAGACUGUUACCUUCAACUAUCUCUUGGGACAUUUAUUCUUGGAGCUCUAAGCCAUCAUGCAAGCAGUCUGGACCAUGUUGAAGAAACAAUAUGGAAAGGCCCUGAAACUACAUGGAGAGAGAGAGCCUGCCUGAGCCCAGACUUCUGGUCAUGCCCUCUAAAGUGCGUUAGUAAACCUGUCUUUGGCACUCCAGACAGCUAUGCUGCCAGCUGAAUAUUACCGGGCGACCCCACUUGAUGCCACAUGAAGCAGCAGAAUUACCCAGCUGAGUCCUCUGAAUUCCUGACUCACAAAGCCAUGGAACAUUGUAUUAUCAAAUGAUUGCUAUUUUGCAAUGCUAAAUUAGAGAGUAGUUGGUUACCCAGCAUACAAAGUUUAACCUUUAAUUAACAUUACAGUUGAUGACCGAAUUGUUGUGAAUCUGACAAUUGGAAGUGCUUUUGGUUUGUUUUGGUACAACUGAAAAACUGCAUCAUCGCUACAGCAGACCAGGUGGCUUAAACAACAGAAAUUUACUUUCUCACAGUCCUGAAGGCUGGAAGUCCAAGAUCAAGGUAGGACAUCUGGUUUCUCUAUAGGCCUCUCUUCUUGGCUUGCAGAUGACCACCCUCUUGCUGUAUCAUCACAUGGUCUUUGGUUUGUACAUGCACACAUCACAUCUCUCUCUCUCUCUCUCUCUCUCUCUCUCUCUCUCUCUCUAUCUCUCUCUCUCUCUCUUUCUCUCUCUCUCUCUCUCUUUUCUUAUAGGGACAUCAGUUAUAUUGAAUUAG